UACGAAGGGGGCUAGCGUUGUUCGGAUUUACUGGGCGUAAAGCGCACGUAGGCGGAUCGUUAAGUCGGGGGUGAAAUCCUGGAGCUCAACUCCAGAACUGCCUUCGAUACUGAAAAGCUUGAGUCCGGGAGAGGUGAGUGGAACUGCGAGUGUAGAGGUGAAAUUCGUAGAUAUUCGCAAGAACACCAGUGGCGAAGGCGGCUCACUGGCCCGGUACUGACGCUGAGGUGCGAAAGCGUGGGGAGCAAACAGG
rnacentral:rRNA from 1 species